rnacentral:lncRNA from 1 species
UUGGAGUGGUCAAUCCCAUCUCGAUCACACUCUGACUUCGCAAGUACUUGACUGUGCCCAGAAGCCUUCCAUCCCUAAAUUAAAAAUUCAGUUAGUCCAGAACCAAAGCACAGUGAGUUGCUUGCAAGUCACUGAGGCGAUCUCAGGUCUAAGGGACACUUAUACCUAUAUUCCAUCAGAGACAUUCUCGACAGUAGAAUACUCUAGAGUUGGUCACGUUCAAUG